rnacentral:rRNA from 1 species
CCUACGGGUGGCAGCAGUGAGGAAUAUUGGUCCAUGGGCGCGAGCCUGAACCAGCCAAGUAGCGUGCAGGAUGACUGCCCUACGGGUUGUAAACUUCUUUUAUACAGGAAUAAAGUGAGUCACGUGUGCCUUUUUGUAUGUACUUUAUGAAUAAGGAUCGGCUAACUCCGUGCCAGCAGCCGCGGUAAUACGGAGGAUCCGAGCGUUAUCCGGAUUUAUUGGGUUUAAAGGGAGCGUAGAUGGGUUGUUAAGUCAGUUGGGAAAGUUUGCGGCUCAACCGGAAAAUUGCAAUGGAGACUGGCAUGCUUGAGUACAGUUGAGGUAGGCGGAAUUCGUGGUGUAGCGGUGAAAUGCUUAGAUAUGACGAAGAACCCUGAUGGCGAAGGCAGCUUACUAAACUGCCACUGACAUUGAUGCUCGAAAGCGUGGGUAUCAAACAGGAUUAGAUACCCGGGUAGUC